rnacentral:tRNA from 1 species
GGGGAUUUAGCUCAGUGGCAGAGCGCUUGCCUAGGAAGCGCAAGGCCCUGGGUUCGGACCCCAGCUCCG